GUGAGAUACCUUCCUCCAGAUAAUGGCCUUCCAAAAAACACUUGUCGUCCUGGUGUUUCUCCUGCUGCUUGUUAACACUGAGUUUUCCAAAGCUCAAAUGACCGGACAUUUUGAACACAGAUUAAACAGUAAUGCAGAGGGAAUUUCUUCACAGGAAAAUAUGAGCGAAAGUCUGAGAAGCAGAUUCCGACGACACAACAGAUGGCGAGCUGCCCAAAAGGAACGAGCACUCCCAGCAAUGAUCCAUCGGAAGGAAUUCAGUCUGCCAGAAACUUCAGUCAGACAGACAGACUGAACGACAUACUUUAUGGAUCCCGAAGGAAAUUGGGUCUCGUUACAUUCAUACUAAGCAGGAAUUGUGUAGAAAUAUAGCAAUA